GGAGAGAUGGCUGAGUGGUUGAAAGCGGCAGAUUGCUAAUCUGCUAUAUAACUAAUGUUAUAUCGAGGGUUCGAAUCCCUUUCUCUCCU
rnacentral:tRNA from 1 species